CAUCGCCGCCGCAGCUAAAGACGAACCUCUUCUAAUCGGAUCCCCAACAAUGAAGUUCCUCUGCAAUGCCGGUGUUAGUAACGGCACCGGCGGGACAGAGAGCAUGUGAAGAGUUAGCAUAAUUAGGGAUACUAGCUAUUGACGGAUCGUGGGAACAUCAAGGUCCGCCGAAGGUAGACGGAUUGACGGACCUGAUCCGGUAGUGUGAGGCUACAGACGACUAUGACGAUGUUCUCCGAAUGGAUGUGGGGGUGUUCGACUUGACACAGUAGGGUGACGUGAUCGACGUGUAGACACCGAAGGUACAAAUUGAGACCAUGCCUCUACUGACUAGCUGCUACGGAGACCAUGUGAUCUGUGCCGACCCAAGCCGACUCUGGAGAACAUCAAGGAACGGACGAUCGACGUAGCGUGGAUUGUCCGAUGCGCAUCCGUCGAUCGUCGAGGGCGGUAUCGCAAGGUACGAGCUGCUAUCUGUCAACCGGAGUGUAAAAUUAUAUAAGAAAUAAUGCAUAAAAUUAUAAAUCUAUCAAUUCUAAAAAAUAAUAAAAAAAAGUAACAUAACCUUGACAAAUGAAGAUCUUUUUAAACUUUUCACAAAUGACAAAACUCUAACCG
rnacentral:lncRNA from 1 species